rnacentral:rRNA from 1 species
AAUCAACGCUGGCGGCGUGCCUAACACAUGCAAGUCGAACGCGAAAGCCCCGCAAGGGUAAGUAGAGUGGCAAACGGGUGAGUAACACGUGGGUGACCUGCCCUCGAGUGGGGGAUAACGUCCCGAAAGGGACGCUAAUACCGCAUAAUAUGCCGCCUUUUAAGAGGUGGACAUCAAAGCUGGGGAUCGCAAGACCUAGCGCUUGAAGAGGGGCCCGCGCCUGAUUAGCUAGUUGGUGGGGUAANGGCUCACCAAGGCAACGAUCAGUAUCCGGCCUGAGAGGGCGGACGGGACACACUGGGACUGAGACACGGCCCAGACUCCUACGGGAGGCAGCAGUGGGGAAUUGUUCGCAAUGGGCGCAAGCCUGACGACGCAACGCCGCGUGGAGGAUGAAG